rnacentral:tRNA from 1 species
AGCCUCGAGAUGUUCAGCAUAUAAAAUUGCAAAUUUUAAAGAGUAGAGUAGUUUCUGCCGGGGCUU